GGGGAAUUUUGGGCAAUGGCCGAAAGGCUGACCCAGCGACGCCGCGUGUGGGAGGAAGCCCUUCGGGGUGUAAACCACUGUCGGGAGGGACGAACGAGGGGGGCGGGAAUACUGCUCUUCUGUGACGGUACCUUCAAAGGAAGCGCCGGCUAACUCUGUGCCAGCAGCCGCGGUAAGACAGAGGGCGCAAGCGUUGUUCGGAAUUACUGGGCGUAAAGCGCGCGUAGGCGGAUCUGUUUGUCCGUAAGUGAAAUCCCGCCGCUCAACGGCGGGGCUGCUUGGGAAACGGCAGGUCUGGGGACCGGUAGAGGUCGGUAGAAUUCCCGGUGUAGCGGUGGAAUGCGUAGAGAUCGGGAAGAAUACCCGUGGCGAAGGCGGCCGACUGGGCCGGAUCCGACGCUGAUGCGCGAAAGCGUGGGGAGCAAAC
rnacentral:rRNA from 1 species